rnacentral:rRNA from 1 species
CUUGGUCAUUUAGAGGAAGUAAAAGUCGUAACAAGGUUUCCGUAGGUGAACCUGCGGAAGGAUCAUUAUUGAAAUAAACCUGAUGGGUUGUUGCUGGUUCUCUAGGGAGCAUGUGCACACCUUGUCAUCUUUAUAUCUCCACCUGUGCACUUUUUGUAGACCUUUCAGGUCUAUGUUGCUUCAUUUACCCCAAUGUAUGUUAAUAGAAUGUUGUGCCUAUAUAAUAUAUACAACUUUCAGCAACGGAUCUCUUGGCUCUCGCAUCGAUGAAGAACGCAGCGAAAUGCGAUAAGUAAUGUGAAUUGCAGAAUUCAGUGAAUCAUCGAAUCUUUGAACGCACCUUGCGCUCCUUGGUAUUCCGAGGAGCAUGCCUGUUUGAGUGUCAUUAAUAUAUCAACCUUCUCUUUUUUGAGUUGUUUGGAUGUGGGGGUUUGCUGGCCUCUUAAAUGAUUCAGCUCCCCUGAAAUGCAUUAGCAGAACAACCUGUUCAUUGGCGUGAUAAUUAUCUAUGCUAUUGAAUGUGAGGGCAGUUCAGCUUUCUAACCGUCCUCGGACAAUUCAUCAUUAAUGUGACCUCAAAUCAGGUAGGACUACCCGCUGAACUUAAGCAUAUCAAUAA